GGAUUAGAUACCCUGGUAGUCCACACCGUAAACGCUGUCUACUAGCUGUAUGUGUAUUUAAUACGUGUGUAGCGAAGCUAACGCGCUAAGUAGACCGCCUGGGGAGUACGGUCGCAAGAUUAAAACUCAAAUGAAUUGACGGGGGCCCGCACAAGCGGUGGAGCAUGUGGUUUAAUUCGAUGCAACGCGAAGAACCUUACCUACACUUGACAUUCAGCGAACUUAGCAGAGAUGCUUUGGUGCCUUCGGGAACGCUGGGACAGGUGCUGCAUGGCUGUCGUCAGCUCGUGCCG
rnacentral:rRNA from 1 species